rnacentral:lncRNA from 1 species
AGAAAGUUCAGCUCCUUGGAAAGACAGUUUCCUGCAGUGUCUCUUCAGUAUUUACCUUCUUCUGAUUUCCAGCUUGAAUGAAUGCAGCCACGAUACAGACACAGUCCUCCAGCGAAGCAGGCAGAACACAGUAAGGGCAAACAGUCCCGAGAAAGGAAGGGAGGGAAGAAUGUGGGGCAAAGUUGCUGUAUAAUGCUGCCUGGAACAUCAGAUUCCCAUCUGGAAGUUCAAGAUGGUGGAAGAUGUUUAUGCCAGAGGUAAAAGGAUAAAGAUGGCAGAUUACAUAUGAAUCCUCAGCAGUGUGAGUGCUGUAUUUGAGUCAUUCUUGGACCUGGCUAUCCCAUCUUACAAAAACAUCUGAUUUGGGAUAUAACAAAGGGUUCCUUUGUUUAGGCAAGAAGGUGGUGUCUGACACGAAGACGCUCCAUUACAACACAGACAAGGUAUCAAAGCUGGAUUUAAAUAAAUGCAUGUCAAGCUGUGACAGACAUGAUUCAGUAAAGCACUAAAUUCACCAGUUUAAGACUGACAAUUGUCUUUGAGUUCCACUAUUCCCACUCAUUU